UUUAGAGGCCAUUUACUCCCAGCGUUGGGUCCAACUCCCCUUACUGGACCAAUGGAGGCCCUGACAAGGAAACCAUCUAGCCCGAGGCCACCCAGAAGGUUAAAUGGGGUCUAAGCCUUGGCUUGCCUGCUCUCCCUUACCAACCCCCCUCAACCACCUGAGAAUGAGAGGAUUUUUCUGGGCUCCCUGCCCAGGGUGGGAGGUACUCCUGGCUCCUGCCCUCCCUCUACCCCGUAUAUUUCUCAAGUGCGGGAAGCUGGGGCUCAGAGUCCUCGGAAAUCCAGGCCAGGGCGGAUGGAGGGUUAUCCUUGGAGGGUCACUGUGGGCCCAGCAGGAAACUCUGAGUAGCCCAGGGCCCAGGGCCAGCAGGGGCCCCAGGGUAGCUCAGGUGGGAGCAUUCCCUCCCCCAGCAUCUAUCUGCCUCUGGCUUGGACACCCAUCAGCUGAUCCAGGCAGGCUGAGCAGGCGGGUGCUGCCUCCACCCCCCCUACCCCUCUCUUGGCAGCCCCUGCUCCAGGGCUGCAGCCCGAGCUAGAGCAGGCGCUGUCUCCGGGGUCCAUCCAGCUUCUGCAGGCAGGAGCAGCCUGGCCCCAUCCCAGUCCCCAGGGGGAAUCCUGAUGGCGGACUCUGUGCUCAAUCACUCUUGGCCCUCCAUCUCAAAGCUGUGGAUGAAGAGAUGGACCUUCAAGAGAGGUUCUGAAUGCAAAGCCUGUGACCCACCCUCGGAUGGCAGCCCCUGCUCCCUCCCUGUGCCCCUAAAAGCUGACAGCCAUGUCCUCUUCUCUGCCAUGGCCAGGGAACGAGAGGCUGGUUCUGUGCCAGAGCUGACAGAUGCCCACAGCAGCACUGAGGACCUUCUCUCACUAGAUAUGGCUCUUCAGGGCACAGAGUACUACAGGGACCUGGGCUACGGGUCACCUGUGGAGAUGACGUCAUGGCUCCCUUUGACCUCGUGGUCCCAGGAGAAGGUGCCAGGGGAGCUUGUAGUCCCCCAACUCCAGGAGCCGAACCACCUCCUUCAGAGCCCCGAUGCCCUUGGUUCUGGGGACCGAGUUGCUGAGCCCUUUCCCACGUUGGCCCGUUCAGUGACCACAUCUAGGAGGCACAGCUGGGAGAGGCCCCUCUCUCCCUUAGAUAUGGACCGGAGACUCAGCCUUGACACCUCUGACAUGGGCAGUGACGAGGAGCGGAGUUUGCCCAGAACAUUUGCCAGCCACUCCUUGAAUCUGCCUGGAGGGGGCCUGCAGGCCUGGGCAGAGAGGACAGGUCAUCGAGGAGCAACCGUCAGGGGGAGAGUCUCACCUGAGCUUCCCUACGUAGGCCUGGAGGAGCCAGAGGAUGACUCACUGAGACAGCAGGUAAGUGGGAAUGUGCCAAGACAAGCAAGUGGGCAUACUCAGGAUGGCCUUUCUCGUUUCUGGACCAGAGACAAGCUGCAGAAGCAGGAUGGGCUUUGUAAUAGUUAAAGGAAUUGUUGAGGAUUGAAG
rnacentral:lncRNA from 1 species